CUGUGGCAGCUGGAGAUGCGGACUUAACGGAGGGCGUGUGACACGGAGGCAGCCCAGACCGCACACGUUCAAGCAAAGUUUGGUCCCGCAGCCCUGUGAGCAGUGGGGACGUCAUAGGAGUGAAACACAGCUCAGAUUAUCUUUCAGAGCACACCCACCAGGUCACACAGCCCAUCAGAGUGACUAGGGGUCAAAGGGCAUGCCUUAUAGUUUAGAAGACUAUGGGACCGCUGAUGCAGUCCGGUCAUUUCCAGAUUACUUCCUAGGACUUAAUGGGUCAUAAUUGAUGGGAGGAAUGUGCGCUGGCACUCCAUUUUCACUAGGAUAAUGAUACGCUGAAGGAAUAAUGACUGGUAACAGGAGUCGCCAAGGUGAGAGAGCUCGCAAACAUUCAUAGGUCUGUCUCUCCGGAGCUCCCCACCAGCAGUCACGACAGGAUGUCCUCCACCCCAACGCCUCCAUGCCCGCCUCCCAGCGCAGCCACUCCCUUCCCAGCCUGGUAAGCAGGGUCUGUGACUGACCCGCCUGGCUCCUGCCUGACCCUCUGGGCCUCCCCCGUCCACUUCCUGCUGGAAACAGCUCUUACUCCUCUAAUAAUCGGACGUGAUCAUUAUCAGAUCUAACGAUCAGAUCCUGGCAAUUAAAAGUUAGCUAUCAAAAUAGUAAGAGUUGUUGUGCAGUUUGGGAAGGAAGAAAUAAACUGUCUUUGCUCACAGAAGAUAUGCCUAUUUGUGUAGAAAUGCCAAAGACUCAAGAACAACAAUCUCCUGGAACUGACAUGGCUACAGCACGGGCUGCGGGGCUCACACUUCAUGCACAAAAGCCAUCACUUUCCUACACUCCAGCGGGAACCACUGAAAUCUGAAAUUAACAACCCAACGCCAUGGGUAUAAGCACCCAAAUAAGGAGAAACGCUGAGACCUAAGACUAAGAAAUGUACAAAAUAAAUGUAAGGAAAACGCCCUCACUCAUGAAAAGAGUCAGAGAAGACCUGAAUGGAUGCAAAGAUGGUCCAUGUUCCUGGGGAGGCGACUCAAUCUUGACCAGAUGUCCGUUCUUCCCAACUUGACCCAUAGAUUCAAUGCAAUCCAACCAGAUUCAAGCAAGUUGGUUUGUGGCUAUCGACAGAACGAUUCUGGAGUUUCUAUGGAGAGAAGCCACGUGCCCAGAGGGCCAGCACAGUAUUGAAGGAGGAGAACAGAGUGGAGGAGACACUCGGGGUCUUGACUGAUCAUAAAGCUGCCGUGACCAUGGGGGGGGUGGUUGGUGAAAUAAUGGACAAGUAGAGCAAUGGGACAGAGCAGAAAGCCAGAGCAGACCCCAUCAAUACAGUCACUUGAUCUUUGACAGAGGCGCAGAGGCAGCACAACGGAGAAAGGACCGUCCCUUUAGCCACGGGAGCUGGAAUAACUGGAUAGCUUCUUACAAAAAGAAAGCUAGACACAGACCUCACACCCGGCACAGAAUUAACUCAAAAUGGAUCACAGACCUAAAUGUGAAACAAAAUUACAAACUCCAAGCAGAUAGCAUAGGAUAAAACCGAGAUGACCGAGAUGACCGUGGGUAUUGGGAUGUCUUUGUAGAUACAACAUCAAAAGGGCUCUUGGUCACGCAUGCCCAUGCGUGGCUGUGGAUGACAGAAGCCAUCACAGGCCAGGCAGCUGGUCGACCAGACCAUUCCAGACGGAACAGGAGGUGGUGCAGAUAAACCGUGAGGGUCUGGUGGCAGGUGCAGCCGCAGGCAGGACAGCCUGGGAGAGGCCAUGACAGAGGGAAAACCAGAGGCCGGGAAGCGGUGAUGGAGCCAGGAGGGCUCUGGAGAGCAGUUCUUCCCUCAGGGGCUCGGAGACCGAGGCCGCUCUUCCCCAGGAACAUCCCCCCUGCACUGACCUCCCAGGGGAGCGCGUUGCAGGUAGAACGCAGGCAGAGGUAAACUCGUACCCUC